rnacentral:rRNA from 1 species
AUUGAACGCUGGCGGCAGGCCUAACACAUGCAAGUCGAGCGGAUGAAGGGAGCUUGCUCCUGGAUUCAGCGGCGGACGGGUGAGUAAUGCCUAGGAAUCUGCCUGGUAGUGGGGGAUAACGUCCGGAAACGGGCGCUAAUACCGCAUACGUCCUGAGGGAGAAAGUGGGGGAUCUUCGGACCUCACGCUAUCAGAUGAGCCUAGGUCGGAUUAGCUAGUUGGUGGGGUAAAGGCCUACCAAGGCGACGAUCCGUAACUGGUCUGAGAGGAUGAUCAGUCACACUGGAACGGAGACACGGUCCAGACUCCUACGGGAGGCAGCAGUGGGGAAUAUUGGACAAGGGGCGAAAGCCUGAUCCAGCCAUGCCGCGUGUGUGAAGAAGGUCUUCGGAUUGUAAAGCACUUUAAGUUGGGAGGAAGGGCAGUAAGUUAAUACCGUGCUGUUGUGACGUUACCAACAGAAUAAGCACCGGCUAACUUCG